AUGGGCACUAAGUAGAGGGGUUUUGAUUAUUUCUCUGCCGGAGCUAACGCAUUAAGUGCCCCGCCUGGGGAGUACGGCCGCAGGGCUAAAACUCAAAAGAAUUGGCGGGGGCUCGCACAAGCGGUGGAGCAUGUGGCUUAAUUCGAUGCAACGCGAAGAACCUUACCGGGGUUUGACAUGGUAGAAGUAGGAGCCCGAAAGGGUAACGAACGGUAUCCAGUCCGUGACUAUCACAGGUGUUGCAUGGCUGUCGUCAGCUCGUGUCGUGAGACGUU
rnacentral:rRNA from 1 species